CGUCCUUUAAACGAGCGGACGGCGCCAAAGUCGCGUCAGUUCGCUGCCAGCCGUCGCCCAGCGAACGACCCUUGGGAGUGGAGCAACCUCCCUUCGAUUUUCGAGAGUCCUGUCCGCGUCCACGUCCACGUUCACGGUUCGGUUUCGGUCUUUGUCGAGCGCCAGUGUCGUAGUGACGUCGCGGGGCCCUUUCGCUGGUAGCUAGAUAGCCAGGGUGCACUGUACCAGUGCACAGGUGCCGCCGGUGAAUGUCAGAUCUCGCAGUCGAGUAAACCAAACAAAUCAAUUUGAAUAUGUCCGACACUGGAUGCAGCAGAUGCGAGGCCAAACAAGAGCUCUGGCUCCUGUGAUUGUUUGUCGAAUAAAGCUGUGCCGUGAACCGGGAAAACCAGCAAACGUAAAACAAAAACCAAAAAAAAAAAAAAAACCGAGAACCAACCAAAUUGCAAAAAAUAAAUGUGCGGCGGGUGGCGGCUGGAGCAGGAGCAGACGCAGACGCAGCCGCACCAACACUCCCGACCAGACAAAAGAAAGAGGACUCGGAAAAAGAAAAGAAAAGCCAGGAGGUCGAAACCGCAAUCGCAAUCGCAUUCGGAAUCGCAAUCGCAAUCGGAAUCGGAAUCGAAGAGGAGCUCCCAUUAGGGAAUCAACGCGAGCAAACCAUCGAACAACCAAAUAAUAGAAUAAGCAAUAGCAUCCUUCUACUUGUGAAGGACACACACAAUACAAUAUAUAUUUAGG
rnacentral:sRNA from 1 species